ensembl:lncRNA
GUCCCUGUAGCAGGUGGUGGAGGGGGUGGUCAGGCAUUAUCCAAUAUGGAUAACAGUUUCUUCAGUGACCUCCCCUCCAACACCUUUUCCAAGCUGUCCUGUUUGCAGCCAAUGAUGGAGCCGUCUGUUGGUGUCACCGGCUCCAAUGCUGCUGGUUGUGGCCUUUUCUUAAUCUUUGGCCACUGCAAAAGGACGUGUGUGCAGUACCAAGGCUGUUAACUGACUGACUGAAUUUGCCAGCGUGUGUUCUUAUACUGUGAAGAACGGAACAUGGAAGGUGAAAGUUGGAACAUGGAAGGUGGACCAUGGAAGGUGGAGAGUCAGUGAGGGGUUCUGAAUAUGCAAAUGACCAUUUAGAGUGAAUGUGUGGUUGGUAGUGAAAAGCAGGCUUAUUGCAGUCAUCAAUACUGAUAAAACGGGAGAUUUUGUCAGUAUUGAGAAAAUUCAACAUGUACCAUUUUGUUGGGGCAUGAACGUCUCUUUUACUCAUAUAAUCUGUCCAAAUCCGAGGCCAACAGAGUCCAUUAAAGAAAUAAACCAAAAGUCAUUGCUAUUUAAUUAAUAGCUGCUAUGACAGUUUUACAACUAACAAGUAAUUAUGUUUACGUGUUUGUUGUAUUUAUAUUUAAUACUAAUAAUCAUCAUUAUCGUAUUAUUCAGUUUCUUUCAAUUUCCAACAUUUUGUCACCAUUUCAUUUGAAUAUAUAUUUUAUAAAUAAUAGACUUUAAGGGAAAUAAAACAAUAACAGUCCUUCUAUCACCACUUACAAAGCUCACUAAUUAUCUUCUAAACUAAGCUAACCUUCUGUACCUCCACAUUUACCACAGACAUGUGUAAUAAAUCUUCUCAAACAAUUCUCGGGUAUUAAAUGAAAUGUAAAAUUCAUACAGUAAAACAUUAAGAAUUCAAUUCGUAUUUAAAAUAAUGCAUGUCUCCUACAUGCAACGGUUCACCUGAGCUAGGAUGAAUGACAAGUCCUUUUUUAAAAUUAUAAUAAAGGUGCUGUUUAUUUAAUCAUUUCAUUAUUCACAUGUCAUGGUACACUCGGCUAAAGCCGAGUAGUAUUUACCACGUGUACUACUGACCUCAGCUUCGUCUUCUGGGCUUCCUGCAGAAGAGAGCCAGUCAAACAUGAGCGGAGCUCCAAGCCGACUCCUAUCGGCACCUUCACCCCAGUGUGCGAUCGGUGGAGGUAAAUGGGUCAUGGAUUAUAGCAAUAUGCUAUUUUCUUCAUUUAUUUUUACCCAGGGACAGAGGCCUUUUGAGUUGGCUGACUGGUUCAUCCGUGUGGCAAAGCAAGGGUGUAAAAGGGGAAUGAAACUAAAUAAACUAACAUUUACUCGUUUGAGGCAGGAGAUGCAGUUCACGGUUUUAGAUAAGAACAGCUUUAUUUUAAAUAGUUUGCGUCUGCGUCGUUGCGUCGACACACUAGUUUCAAUUCAAGGUGAAUUCAUGAAAAAGGGCAUUCUCCAGGGCUUCCUUUCGGGUUGUUUGGGGCCCCGGCCACGUUUCAGCGCCUCGUGGAUCGAGUGCUGCGUCCACACGCUGCAUAUGCUGCCACUUACUUGGAUGAUGUCAUUAUCCACAGCACCACCUGGGCGCCGCAUGUGCGGCAGG